rnacentral:rRNA from 1 species
CUACGGGGCGCUCCAGCAGGGAAUAUUGCACAAUGGACGGAAGUCUGAUGCAGCGACGCCGCGUGGAUGAUGAAGGCCUUCGGGUUGUAAAAUCCUUUUCAGGGAGAAGAGGAAGGACGGUAUCCCUGGAAUAAGCGUCGGCUAACUACGUGCCAGCAGCCGCGGUAAUACGUAGGACGCAAGCGUUAUCCGGAUUUACUGGGCGUAAAGCGUCUGUAGGCGGUUUAGUAAGUUUGAUGUGAAAGCUCCAGGCUCAACUUGGAGAGUGCAUUGAAUACUGCUAGACUGGAGGGGAUCAGAGGAAAGCGGAAUUUCCGGUGUAGCGGUAAAAUGCGCAGAUAUCGGAAAGAACACCAGUGGCGAAGGCGGCUUUCUGGGAUCAACCUGACGCUGAGAGACGAAAGCUAGGGUAGCGAACAGGAUUAGAUACCCGCGUAGUC